rnacentral:rRNA from 1 species
GUCUAUGGCCAUGCCACCUUGAAUGUGCCUGAUCUUGUCUGGUCUCUGAAGCUAAGCAGGGUCGGGCCUGGUUAGUACCUGGUUAGACCACCUAGGAAUACCAGGUGCUGUAGGCA